UUCCGGUUGAUCCCGCCGGAGGUUACUGCUAUCGGGGUUCGACUAAGCCAUGCGAGUCGAAUGUAGCAAUACAUGGCGAGCUGCUCAGUAACACGUGGACAACCUGCCCUUAGGUUGGGUAUAAACCCGGGAAACUGGGUAUAAUACCCGAUAGGUCUCGAUUGCUGGAAUGCAUCGAGAUUUAAAGCUCCGGCGCCUAAGGAUGGGUCUGCGGCCUAUCAGGUAGUAGUGGGUGUGGCGUACCUACUAGCCUACGACGGGUACGGGUUGUGAGAGCAAGAGCCCGGAGAUGGAUUCUGAGACACGAAUCCAGGCCCUACGGGGUGCAGCAGGCGCGAAAACUUUACAAUGCUGGCAACAGCGAUAAGGGAACCUCGAGUGCCAGGUUACAAAUCUGGCUGUCGAGAUGCCUAAAAAGCAUUUCAUAGCAAGGGCCGGGCAAGACCGGUGCCAGCCGCCGCGGUAACACCGGCGGCUCGAGUGGUAACCGUUAUUAUUGGGUCUAAAGGGUCUGUAGCCGGCCGGAUAAGUCUCUUGAGAAAUCUGGCAGCUUAACUGUCAGGCUUUCAGGAGAUACUGUCUGGCUCGAGGCCGGGAGAGGUGAGAGGUACUUCAGGGGUAGGGGGUGAAAUCUUGUAAUCCUUGAAGGACCACCAGUGGCGAAGGCGUCUCACCAGAACGGACCUGACGGCAAGGGACGAAAGCUAGGGGCACGAACCGGAUUAGAUACCCGGGUAGUCCUAGCCGUAAACGAUACUCGCUAGGUGUCGGCCACGGUGCGACCGUUGUCGGUGCCGUAGGGAAGCCGUGAAGCGAGCCACCUGGGAAGUACGGCCGCAAGGCUGAAACUUAAAGGAAUUGGCGGGGGAGCACCACAACGGGUGGAGCUUGC
rnacentral:rRNA from 1 species